rnacentral:rRNA from 1 species
GACGAACGCUGGCGGCGUGCUUAACACAUGCAAGUCGAACGGAAAGGCCCUGCUUUUGUGGGGUGCUCGAGUGGCGAACGGGUGAGUAACACGUGAGUAACCUGCCCUUGACUUUGGGAUAACUUCAGGAAACUGGGGCUAAUACCGGAUAUGAGCUCCUGCUGCAUGGUGGGGGUUGGAAAGUUUCGGCGGUUGGGGAUGGACUCGCGGCUUAUAAGCUUGUUGGGGGGGUAGUGGCUUACCAAGGCUUUGACGGGUAGCCGGCCUGAGAGGGUGACCGGCCACAUUGGGACUGAGAUACGGCCCAGACUCCUACGGGAGGCAGCAGUGGGGAAUAUUGCACAAUGGGCGGAAGCCUGAUGCAGCAACGCCGCGUGCGGGAUGACGGCCUUCGGGUUGUAAACCGCUUUCGCCUGUGACGAAGCGUGAGUGACGGUAAUGGGUAAAGAAGCACCGGCUAACUACGUG